CAACAGCGUAUAUUAAAGUUGUUGCAGUUAAAACGCUCGUAGUUGAACAUCUGCCCUUUUCCGGUUAGGUCCGCUCUGCGUGCACCUUCCGAAAUCGGCAUCCGUCUGCGUUGCUUCGCAUUGCAGACCGUUCACUUUGAGGAAAUUAGAGUGUUCAAAGCAGGCUUACGCCUUGAAUACUUCAGCAUGGAAUGAUUGAUAGGACUUCUAUCCUAUCUUGGUUCUAGGGACAGAAGUAAUGGUAAACAGGGUUGGUUGGGGGCAUUCGUACUGAACAGUCAGAGGUGAAAUUCUUAGAUUUGUUCAAGACGAACAACUGCGAAAGCAUUUGCCAAGGACGACCCCAUUAA
rnacentral:rRNA from 1 species